UACAGAGGGUGCGAGCGUUGUCCGGAAUUACUGGGCGUAAAGGGCUCGUAGGCGGCCAACUAAGUCCGACGUGAAAUCCCAAGGCUUAACCUUGGAACUGCGUCGGAUACUGGAUGGCUUGAAUUCGGGAGAGGGAUGCAGAAUUCCAGGUGUAGCGGUGAAAUGCGUAGAUAUCUGGAGGAAUACCGGUGGCGAAGGCGGCAUCCUGGACCGACAUUGACGCUGAUGAGCGAAAGCUAGGGGAGCAAACGGG
rnacentral:rRNA from 1 species